GGAGGUUCAAAGGAUCUGGUGGAGAUCAAAAGGUAAGGGUUGCAAAGGAAAUUAUGAUCUGAUCCUUCAACUAGAGGAUUUGUAUACUAGGGAUCCUCAGACUCCAUUGCUGAAGGGUUCCCAUGUUUUACACAUACACCCUCGGGUUGAAGAAAAGAUCACAGCCGAGCCCUCGGGCGAGGCGGAUAGGGGUCGGCGGAACAGAUAGGGUCGGGCGAGACGGAACCGGGGUCGGGCGGAUAAGAGGGGUCGGGCGAAGCGGACUGGGGUCGGCACCUUACCUUCUUCCUAC
rnacentral:lncRNA from 1 species